CCGCUCUGGUUUCUCUUCAGCACGCACAAAUCUUUUGCCUUUUACUAAAGAUUUCCAAUAAGAGGAACAAGGGUGAGCCUAUGCUAUUUUUGGAGUCCCUGCUUUUAGACAGGGC